AAGUCGUAACAAGGUUUCCGUAGGUGAACCUGCGGAAGGAUCAUUAACGAAUGCCCUUCUCGGGCUAUUCAAAAAAUGGCCUCUUCUCUGGCUGUGCGCCGCAAGGCUUGCACGCCGGCGAGGGGGUUGUUCCUUACACACCUGUGCACCUUUAUCAGGCUUGUGGAGGGGUCGCAAGGCCCGCUCCUAGGCUUGCUUCAUUUUAACAUCGUCUCCAGUCUUUGGAUGUCUACUUUAUAAAUUAAAUACAACUUUCAGCAACGGAUCUCUUGGCUCUC
rnacentral:misc_RNA from 1 species